GAGGUACUCCCUCCGUCCAAAAAUACUUGUUCUAGAAAUAGAUAAAAUGAAUGUAUCUAUAAUUAAAAUAAGUCUAGAUACAAUCAUUUCGAGGACAAGUAUUUCUGGACGGAGGGAUUACGUA
rfam:Triticum aestivum genome assembly, contig: Triticum_aestivum_CS42_TGACv1_scaffold_061304_1DL